CGCGGAUAUUUGUCUUAUUACGUUGAUCUUCUUUACAUUACUUUGAGGCGAUUUUUUUGCCAAUUUUCAUUACUGCAAGUUUAUGUCAUGAAAGUAAAAUAAUACCAAAGGGACAAUCAACAUCUCAAACUAUGAAUCAAAUAAACUUAAUUAAAACCAUGAACAAAAUAAAAUUAAAGUCAAAGAGACGAACAACAGACCACAAAACACAGCACAGCAUAAAAACGAUCAUUGACUAAAACAGCUAAUGAGAUCAGGAAGGGUAUUCAACUUUUUCAUUUUUUCAAUUUCACAACUGCUUAUAGUGUUUUGCAUACACAAUGACCUGUUGUAUUUGAAAAGCAC
rnacentral:lncRNA from 1 species